UACGUAGGGUGCGAGCGUUGUCCGGAAUUAUUGGGCGUAAAGAGCUCGUAGGCGGUUUGUCGCGUCGGCCGUGAAAACUUGGGGCUUAACUCCAAGCUUGCGGUCGAUACGGGCAGACUUGAGUUCGGCAGGGGAGACUGGAAUUCCUGGUGUAGCGGUGAAAUGCGCAGAUAUCAGGAAGAACACCAAUGGCGAAGGCAGCUCUCUGGGACGGUACUGACGCUGAGACGCGAAAGCGUGGGGAGCGAACAGG
rnacentral:rRNA from 1 species